rnacentral:rRNA from 1 species
AUUGAACGCUGGCGGCAGGCCUAACACAUGCAAGUCGAACGAGUGGCGGACGGGUGAGUAAUGAUUGGGAAAAUGGCUGAUGGAGGGGGAUAACGACUGGAAACUGUAGCUAAUACCUCAUACCAUUGGAUCAGCCCAAAUGGGAUUAGGUAGUAGGUGGGGUAAAGGCUCACAUAGGCGGCGAUCCCUAGCUGGUUGGAGGGGAUGACCAGCCACACGUGAACUGAGACACGGCCCGAACGCCUACGGGAGGCAGCAGUGGGGAAUAUUGCACAAUUGGCGCAAGCCUGACGCAGCCAUGCAGCGUGAAUGAAGAAGGCCUUCGGGUUGUAAAGUACUUUCAGCGGUGAGGCGUUAACCACAGAAGAAGCACCGGCUAACUCCGUGCCAGCAGCCGCGGUAAUUC